rnacentral:rRNA from 1 species
UACGUAGGGUGCGAGCGUUAAUCGGAAUUACUGGGCGUAAAGCGUGCGCAGGCGGUUCUGCAGGUCGGCUGUGAAAUCCCCGGGCUUAACCUGGGAAUUGCGGUUGAAACUACAGGGCUAGAAUCUGGCAGAGGGGGGUGGAAUUCCACGUGUAGCAGUGAAAUGCGUAGAGAUGUGGAGGAACACCGAUGGCGAAGGCAGCCCCCUGGGCUGAGAUUGACGCUCAGGCACGAAAGCGUGGGGAGCAAACAGG